GACGAACGCUGGCGGCGUGCUUAACACAUGCAAGUCGAACGAAAAAGCCAGCUUGCUGGGGGACUAGUGGCGAAAGGGGGAGUAACACGCGGGUGUGCUGCCCCAAACUUUGGGAGAAAAGCGGGAGAAAGGGGCUAAAACAGAGGAUGAGCGACACUCGCAGGGGGGUGGGUGGAAAGCUCCGGCGGUUUGGGAUGGGCCCGCGGCCUAUCAGCUUGUUGGUGGGGUAAUGGCCUACCAAGGCGGCGACGGGUAGCCGGCCUGAGAGGGGGACCGGCCACACUGGGCUUGGGUCACGGCCCAGCCUCCUACGGGAGGCAGCGUUGGGGAAUAUUGCACAAUGGGGGCAAGCCUGAUGCGGCACCGCCGCGUGGGGGAUACGGGCCUUGGGUUUGAAACCCUCUUUCCCCAGGACGGAGCCGAAUGUGACGGUACCUGGAGAAGAAGCACCGGCCAACUACGUG
rnacentral:rRNA from 1 species